rnacentral:sRNA from 1 species
AGUAUGUAUACAAUGUUAUACAACCAUUAAUACCUAGAUCCAAAACAUUUUCAUCACCCAAAGGUGACUGUUUGUCCGUAAAACAGUCACUUUCUCCUUUGUUCUCUCCCCAACUUCUGGCAACCAUUAUUUGGGUUUCUGUCUCUGUAGAUAUAUCAAUUCUGAUUAUACUAUAUAAAGGGAAUCAUGCAUGUGACCUUUUGUGUCUGGUUUCUUUUAUUUGGCGUCGUGUUUUCAAUGUUCUUCCAAGUUGUAACUUGUAUCAAUACCUCACUUUUUAUCAUGGCUGAAGAAUAUUUUCAUUGUAUGAAUAUUCAGCAUUUUGUUUGUUCUCUCCUCUGUGAUGGUACAUUUGGGUUGUUGAUACCACUUAACCUAUUGGCACCCAAGGCCUUUUAAAUAAAUGUCGUUACAUUAGGAGACAUGAUAAAAAUACAUAUUGAUCAACAACUAUGUGAGAGAUUUUUGAAGUGCUUUAGGGCAUGUCAGAAGAAGCAGUUACUCCAGAGUUUGCUGUCUAUUUGAUAAGUAUUGAAAUCUGAGUUGUGAUGAAUAAAACAUGAAUUUUUAUUUUCCCUUAAGGUGUAACAAGUGAAAAGCAAUUCUUAAACAUUACCAACUUCAAAUUAUUUUAAUAGUUUUGGUCUUCUGUGUAGGCCCUUCAUUAUAUGUUGUUGGUAUCUGAAGUAGAAGAAACUGAAAUCUUUAAAAUUUGUCUUGAAUACUGGAAUCACUUGGCUGCUGAACUCUAUAGAGAGAGUCCAUUCUCUACAUCUGCCUCUCCGUUGCUUUCUGGAAGUCAACAUUUUGAUGUUCCUCCCAGGAGACAGCUAUAUUUGCCCAUGUUAUUCAAGGUCCGUUUAUUAAUGGUUAGUCGAAUGGCUAAACCAGAGGAAGUAUUGGUUGUAGAGAAUGAUCAAGGAGAAGUUGUGAGAGAAUUCAUGAAGGAUACAGAUUCCAUAAAUUUGUAUAAGAAUAUGAGAGAAACAUUGGUUUAUCUUACUCAUCUGGAUUAUGUAGAUACAGAAAGAAUAAUGACAGAGAAGCUUCACAAUCAAGUGAAUGGUACAGAGUGGUCAUGGAAAAAUUUGAAUACAUUGUGUUGGGCAAUAGGCUCCAUUAGUGGAGCAAUGCAUGAAGAGGACGAAAAACGAUUUCUUGUUACUGUUAUAAAGGAUCUAUUAGGAUUAUGUGAACAGAAAAGAGGCAAAGAUAAUAAAGCUAUUAUUGCAUCAAAUAUCAUGUACAUAGUAGGUCAAUAUCCACGAUUUUUGAGAGCUCACUGGAAAUUUCUGAAGACUGUAGUUAACAAGCUGUUCGAAUUCAUGCAUGGUAAAUCUCUUUCUUUACUAUAUUUUGUUUUUAUUUUUAUUGAAGAAAAUAAAUGAAUGUUUUUGUCUUGUUAGAGACCCAUGAUGGAGUCCAGGAUAUGGCUUGUGAUACUUUCAUUAAAAUAGCCCAAAAAUGCCGCAGGCAUUUCGUUCAGGUUCAGGUUGGAGAAGUGAUGCCAUUUAUUGAUGAAAUUUUGAACAACAUUAACACUAUUAUUUGUGAUCUUCAGCCUCAACAGGUUCAUACGUUUUAUGAAGCUGUGGGGUACAUGAUUGGUGCACAAACAGAUCAAACAGUACAAGAACACUUGAUAGAAAAGUACAUGUUACUCCCUAAUCAAGUGUGGGAUAGUAUAAUCCAGCAGGCAACCAAAAAUGUGGAUAUACUGAAAGAUCCUGAAACAGUCAAGCAGCUUGGUAGCAUUUUGAAAACAAAUGUGAGAGCCUGCAAAGCUGUUGGACACCCCUUUGUAAUUCAGCUUGGAAGAAUUUAUUUAGAUAUGCUUAAUGUAUACAAGUGCCUCAGUGAAAAUAUUUCUGCAGCUAUCCAAGCUAAUGGUGAAAUGGUUACAAAGCAACCAUUGAUUAGAAGUAUGCGAACUGUAAAAAGGGAAACUUUAAAGUUAAUAUCUGGUUGGGUGAGCCGAUCCAAUGAUCCACAGAUGGUCGCUGAAAAUUUUGUUCCCCCUCUGUUGGAUGCAGUUCUCAUUGAUUAUCAGAGAAAUGUCCCAGCUGCUAGAGAACCAGAAGUGCUUAGUACUAUGGCCAUAAUUGUCAACAAGUUAGGGGGACAUAUAACAGCUGAAAUACCUCAAAUAUUUGAUGCAGUUUUUGAAUGCACAUUGAAUAUGAUAAAUAAGGACUUUGAAGAAUAUCCUGAACACAGAACAAACUUUUUCUUACUACUUCAGGCUGUCAAUUCUCAUUGUUUCCCAGCAUUCCUUGCUAUUCCACCUACACAGUUUAAACUUGUUUUGGAUUCCAUCAUUUGGGCCUUCAAACAUACUAUGAGGAAUGUUGCAGAUACGGGCUUACAGAUACUUUUUACACUCUUACAAAAUGUUGCACAAGAAGAAGCUGCAGCUCAGAGUUUUUAUCAAACUUAUUUUUGUGAUAUUCUCCAGCAUAUCUUCUCUGUUGUGACAGACACUUCACAUACUGCUGGUUUAACAAUGCAUGCAUCAAUUCUUGCAUAUAUGUUUAAUUUGGUUGAAGAAGGAAAAAUAAGUACAUCAUUAAAUCCUGGAAAUCCAGUUAACAACCAAAUCUUUCUUCAGGAAUAUGUGGCUAAUCUCCUUAAGUCGGCCUUCCCUCACCUACAAGAUGCUCAAGUAAAGCUCUUUGUGACAGGGCUUUUCAGCUUAAAUCAAGAUAUUCCUGCUUUCAAGGAACAUUUAAGAGAUUUCCUAGUUCAAAUAAAGGAAUUUGCAGGUGAAGACACUUCUGAUUUGUUUUUGGAAGAGAGAGAAAUAGCCCUACGGCAGGCUGAUGAAGAGAAACAUAAACGUCAAAUGUCUGUCCCUGGCAUCUUUAAUCCACAUGAGAUUCCAGAAGAAAUGUGUGAUUAAAAUCCAAAUUCAUGCUGUUUUUUUCUCUGCAACUCUUGUUAGCAGAGGAAAACAGCAUGUGGGUAUUUGUCGACCAAAAUGAUGCCAAUUUGUAAAUUAAAUUGUCACCUAGUGGCCCUUUUUCUUAUGUGUUUUUUUGUAUAAGAAAUUUUCUGUGAAAUAUCCUUCCAUUGUUUAAGCUUUUGUUUUGGUCAUCUUUAUUUAGUUUGCAUGAAGUUGAAAAUUAAGGCAUUUUUAAAAAUUUUACUUCAUGCCCAUUUUUGUGGCUGGGCUGGGGGGAGGAGGCAAAUUCGAUUUGAACAUAUACUUGUAAUUCUAAUGCAAAAUUAUACAAUUUUUCCUGUAAACAAUACCAAUUUUUAAUUAGGGAGCAUUUUCUUUCUAGUCUAUUUCAGUCUAGAAGAAAAGAUAAUGAGUAAAACAAAUUGCGUUGUUUAAAGGAUUAUAGUGCUGCAUUGUCUGAAGUUAGCACCUCUUGGACUGAAUCGUUUGUCUAGACUACAUGUACUACAAAGUCUCUUUGGCAAGAUUGCAGCAAGAUCAUGUGCAUAUCAUCCCAUUGUAAAGCGACUUCAAAAAUAUGGGAACACAGUUAUUUUUACAGUUCUUUUUGUUUUUGUGUGUGUGUGCUGUCGCUUGUCGACAACAGCUUUUUGUUUUCCUCAAUGAGGAGUGUUGCUCAUUUGUGAGCCUUCAUUAACUCGAAGUGAAAUGGUUAAAAAUAUUUAUCCUGUUAGAAUAGGCUGCAUCUUUUUAACAACUCAUUAAAAAACAAAACAAAACAAAACUCUGGCUUUUGAGAUGACUUAUACUAAUUUACAUUGUUUACCAAGCUGUAGUGCUUUAAGAACACUACUUAAAAAGCAAAAUAAACUUGGUUUACAUUU